CCUACGGGUGACAGCAGUGAGGAAUAUUGGUCAAUGGACGAGAGUCUGAACCAGCCAAGUAGCGUGAAGGAUGACUGCCCUAUGGGUUGUAAAUUUCUUUUAUAAGGGAAUAAAACGAGGCACGUGUGCCUUUUUGCAUGUACUUUAUGAAUAAGGAUCGGCUAACUCCGUGCCAGCCGCCGCGGUAAUACGUCGGUUCUGGGCGUUAUCCGGAUUUAUUGGGGUGAAAGGGAGCGUAGAUGGGUUGUUAAGUCACUGGUGAAAGUUUGCGGCUCAACCGUAAAAUUGCAAUUGAUACUGGCAGUCGUGAGUACAGGUGAGGUAGGCGGAAUUCGGGGUGUAGCGGUGAAAUGCGUAGAUAUCACGAAGAACCCCGAUUGCGAAGGCAGAUUACUAAACUGUGACUGACAUUGAUGCGCGAAAGUGUGGGUAUCAAACAGGAUUAGAUACCCGUGUAGUC
rnacentral:rRNA from 1 species